UACGGAGGGUGCAAGCGUUAUCCGAAUUCACUGGGCUUAAAGGGUGCGUAGGUGGGCAGGUAAGUCAGUGGUGAAAUCUCCGGGCUUAACUCGGAAACUGCCAUUGAUACUAUCUUUCUUGAAUACCGUGGAGGUCAGCGGAAUAUGUCAUGUAGCGGUGAAAUGCUUAGAUAUGACAUAGAACACCAAUGGCGAAGGCAGCUGGCUAGACGAAUAUUGACACUGAUGCACGAAAGCGUGGGGAUCAAACAGG
rnacentral:rRNA from 1 species